rnacentral:rRNA from 1 species
GGAGGAGGCAAGCGUUGUCCGGAAUCAUUGGGCGUAAAGAGCGCGUAGGCUGUUUUUCAAGUCAUUUGUGAAAACCUCAGGCUUAACUUGAGGACUGCAUAUGAAACUGGAAAACUUGAGUGCAGUAGGGGAAAGUGGAAUUCCUGGUGUAGCGGUGAAAUGCGCAGAUAUCAGGAAGAACACCGGUAGCGAAGGCGGCUUUCUGGGCUGCUACUGACGCUGAGGCGCGAAAGCUAGGGGGGAGCAAACAGGAUUAGAUACCCUGGUAGUCCUAGCUGUAAACGAUGGACACUAGGUGUGGGGAGUUAUCGACGCUUUCCGUGCCGGAGCUAACGCAUUAAGUGUCCCCGCCUGGGAGUACGGUCGCAAGACUA